GUACACGCUGUGACUAGCAUAUCAAUAAGCGGAGGAAAAGGCUGCGGAACUGAACGGCCGCUACCUACGCUUAGGAUGUUGACGAGACUGUCGAUCUCAUCUAUACAUGACUCUGUGCAUAUCAAUAAGCGGAGGAAAAGAGGGCUAUUACCUACGCUUAGGAUGUUGACGAGACUGUCGAUCUCAUCUAUACAUGACUCUGUGCAUAUCAAUAAGCGGAGGAAAAGAAACUAACAAGGAUUCCCUUAGUAACGGCGAGUGAAGCGGGAAGAGCUCAAAUUUGAAUCUUCAAGGUUCUACCUUGACGAAUUGUAGUUUAUAGAAGUGUUUUCUGUUAGUGGAGUGGCAAAAGUUCUUUGGAAUAGGACAUCAUAGAGGGUGAGAAUCCCGUAUUUGGUCAUUCCUCCUAGCGUUGUGAUACACUUUCAACGAGUCGGAUUGUUUGGGAAUGCAGUCCAAAAUGGGUGGUAAAUUUCAUCUAAAGCUAAAUAUUGGCGAGAGACCAAUAGCGAACAAGUACCGUGAGGGAAAGAUGAAAAGAACUUUGAAAAGAGAGUUAAACAGUACGUGAAAUUGUCAAAAGGGAAGCGUUUGACACCAGUGUUGUUUUUCCGAAAAUCAAUUACGAAUGUUUUGUUUUUGAGAGGUUAUGACUUCAUCGGCUUGCUUCUCUCUUUACGAAACUUUCUUAAUGCACUUUUCGGUUAACAAGUCAACAUCAAUUUCUUUUGUUGUAAAAGGGUAAGAGGAAGGUGGCUUACUCUUUCGGCGUAAAGUGUUUAUAGCCUUGUACCUCUGCAAUCGGAGAGAUUGAGGUCUGCAGCGUAGAUCCUUCGGGGUUAGAUACAUUUGUGCUAAGUUAUAGCUUUUCAUAGACAACUUGUUGACUAUGUUAGUCUUGUAGCUUACUCGCAUAUGCUAUUUUACCUACGCUUAGGAUGUUGACACACGCGCGUGCUCG
rnacentral:rRNA from 1 species